rnacentral:rRNA from 1 species
UUCGCAAUGCCCGAAAGGGUGACGAAGCGACGCCGCGUGAGCGAAGAAGGCCCUAGGGUUGUAAAGCUCUGUCGGGGGUUAUGAAAUGUAGAUCGGUUAAUACCCGGUUUAUUUGACAAAGGCCCCAAAGGAAGCCACGGCUAACUCUGUGCCAGCAGCCGCGGUAAUACAGAGGUGGCAAGCGUUGUUCGGUAUUAUUGGGCGUAAAGAGCACGUAGGUGGUUUUGUAAGUCAGAUGUGAAAGCCUUCCGUUCAAAGGAAGAACGGCAUCUGAAACUGCAGAUCUUGAGUGUAGGAGGGGAGAGUGGAACUUCUGGUGGAGCGGUGAAAUGCGUAGAUAUCAGAAGGAACGUCGGCGGCGAAAGCGACUCUCUGGCCUAUUACUGACACUGAGGUGCGAAAGUUAGGGUAGCGAACGGGAUUAGAUACCCCGGUAGUCCUAACUGUAAACGAUGGGCACUAAGUAGAGGGGUUUU